UAGGGAAUCUUCCGCAAUGGGCGAAAGCCUGACGGAGCAACGCCGCGUGAGUGAUGAAGGUCUUCGGAUCGUAAAACUCUGUUAUUAGGGAAGAACAAAUGUGUAAGAAACUAUGCACGUCUUGACGGUACCUAAUCAGAAAGCCACGGCUAACUACGUGCCAGCAGCCGCGGUAAUACGUAGGUGGCAAGCGUUAUCCGGAAUUAUUGGGCGUAAAGUGCGCGUAGGCGGUUUUUUAAGUCUGAUGUGAAAGCCCACGGCUCAACCGUGGAGGGUCAUUGGAAACUGGAAAACUUGAGUGCAGAAGAGGAAAGUGGAAUUCCAUGUGUAGCGGUGAAAUGCGCAGAGAUAUGGAGGAACACCAGUGGCGAAGGCGACUUUCUGGUCUGUAACUGACGCUGAUGUGCGAAAGCGUGGGGAUCAAACAGG
rnacentral:rRNA from 1 species